rnacentral:rRNA from 1 species
CCUACGGGCGGCAGCAGUGGGGAAUAUUGGACAAUGGGGGCAACCCUGAUCCAGCCAUGCCGCGUGUGUGAAGAAGGCCCUCGGGUUGUAAAGCACUUUCAGUGAGGAAGAACGCCUGGUGGUUAAUAUCCAUCAGGAAAGACAUCACUCACAGAAGAAGCACCGGCUAACUCCGUGCCAGCAGCCGCGGUAAUACGGAGGGUGCGAGCGUUAAUCGGAAUUACUGGGCGUAAAGCGCGCGUAGGUGGCUUGAUAAGCCGGUUGUGAAAGCCCCGGGCUCAACCUGGGAACGGCAUCCGGAACUGUCAAGCUAGAGUGCAGGAGAGGAAGGUAGAAUUCCCGGUGUAGCGGUGAAAUGCGUAGAGAUCGGGAGGAAUACCAGUGGCGAAGGCGGCCUUCUGGACUGACACUGACACUGAGGUGCGAAAGCGUGGGUAGCAAACAGGAUUAGAUACCCCUGUAGUC